CAGGCUUCAGUUAGUGUAGAAGGUCCAGAUGAGAUCUGCUUCUGUAGGAUGUAGUAUAAGCGUAAUAAAUCAUCUUACCUUUGCAGCAACACCUGUACAUUA